ACUCUCUUAGUAUAAUCAAUACCAAUGAUUUCCAAUCAUUCCAUCUCGGUUUAACCCCGAGAGAGAGCA
rnacentral:tRNA from 1 species